GCAAAUUGAUGAUUCAUGCCUUCUAAUCUAGGAGCUUCUGGGCAUGCCCAUUAUGUUUUCUUCCCUUUCUCUCUCUGUCGUCCUUCUCUCUCCUUUUCACUUCUCUGUUGAAGAUUUUUGAAGUUGCUAUGUCUUCAAAAAGGCGAAGAGGAGCUGAAGAGAAUGGAAAAAUAAGUGAUGGCGUUUCUUUUGACUAUUUAGGGAUUCAACCCCUUUUCUUCUUUCACCUAAUGAAAAUUUUCUUCUACAUUUGAUUUCUCAAAUACCCAAAAGCCUAUUCUUGAAUAAAAAAUCAAUCUUUAUGUGUUUUGUGCUUAUGGGUACUCAGAGUGUUGUUUUUUUUUUUCCUGGAAUUGAACUGCCAAAAUUAAAACUUAAGUUUCAGUCAAACAUUUGAUUUCUCAAAUACCCAAAAGCCAUCUUUAUGUCUUUUAUGCUUAUGGGUACUCAGAGUGUUGUUGUUGUUGUUAGUUUUUUUUAUUUUCUGGAAUUGAUCUGCAAAAAUUAAAACUUAAGUUUUUUCACUGAUAAAGAAAAUGUUGUGACUGAUUUUAAAAAAUUUACAUAUUUUUUCUUGGAUUUUUUUUUGAGUGUUUUAGUAAGUAAUUGAAUAAAAAAAGGAUCAUUAUGAGAUCAUGGAAGAAAUUGGGCGUGGAGCAUUUGGUGCUGCUAUUUUAGUUAAUCGCAAGAAGUAACUUGAAGAAAGAAAGAAGUAUGUGUUAAAAAAGAUUCGAUUAGCUCGACAGACAGAACGUUGCAGAAGAUCUGCUCAUCAAGAGAUUGGAUGCCCUCCUCUGUCGGAGAACUUUACAGUACUGUUUAGAAAUUUUCUACUGCCUACUUGGAAUGACUGGGUUAUCUGAGAUGUCUCGACGUUUAGAGAUGGGUGCAGUUCCGUGUUGUUUUAGGGAUGUAGCGAUGUCAAUUCAUUACUACCGACUCCCAGAGAAGUUAAUUACCAGAUUUUUUGUAGCUAUUCUUGAAAUUUCUGUGGCAUUUGUUAUUCUUUUAACCAAUUCCGUACAUGCAUUGAUUGAAGAAAAGGGGCUAUAGAGAAAUUAUCGUAGUUCGGGGGGAGCAUCUGCAUCUGGUGAAUUUACUUAUGACACCUCUUUGGCUGGCUUACAUUCUUACCUUGGUGAUGUCGAGGAUACUCAUAAUAGGCUGGCCUUCUUGGAUGACAGAGCUGUCUCAACUGUUCCUCUGUUCUAUCUUGAAGGUAAGUGCAUUACUCGGUUGCCUGUGACUAUCUUUUCUUCAAUUACUGGAGCACGGGCCCAACAUCAGAGGCUCAUAAUCUUCAAAAAUGUUGGUGCAAGAUGCAAGAGACCCCAAAUUUCAUAAUGCAAGAAAUAACAAGAACUGGAGUUGAAUGAUAGAGUGCUUCCAGAGUAACUUUGCUUUCUUUCCUUAGUCGUAAGAUAACAUUGCAAUGAAGAAGCUGAGGGCAUAUAUGUGAAAGAAACCAAAAGCAUUUGCUUUGCAUAUUCUACAAAUUUCAACAAUACACUUAGGUGGCAAUUUUUUUGCACCUAAUUCUCCCAAAAAAAGGUUGUUCAUUGCCUCAAAGUAGGAUUGGCUCUUUCCCUUGUGUCUGUGGCAAUUUUUUGCACCUAAUUCUCCCCCAAAAAAAGGUUGUUCAUUGCCUCAAAGUAGGAUUGGCUCUUUCCCUUGUGUCUGUGUUUUAUUACAUGAGGCCUCUGUGUGAAGUUGUUGGAUGGAAUGCUAUGUGGGCUGUUAUGGCAGUUGAAGUAGUAUUUGAGUACACUCUAGGUUCUACACUUUAUAAGUGUGUAAAUAGAGCUAUGGCAGCAUGUCUCGCUGAAUCUCUAGGAAUUGAUGUUCGCGGGUUGCAAGUCAAUCUGAAGAAACAUUUGAACCUGUUAUUCUCCAAGCUUAAGUUUUUCGCUUAGAUUGUUAACAAUGAAUAACGGAAGUAUUCAGCCCAACUGGUCUGUAUGGGAUGCAGAAGACCGGAUUACUAUGAUGGAGCAUAAAAGAUUACAAUUUAACCCAGAUUCCUCUCUUCAGCAAGUUUAGUAAUGAGUAUAACGGCCCUAUUGUUCCAAUGGAGAUAAGAACCUAUGAUUAGCUUUUCGGGCAAUUUCCAAACGAACAAUUUCAACUAAAUCAUUGCUUAAGUCCGUAUAGGUUCAAUUUUUUUUUACAUCAAUUGCUCAAGACAAAAUCUCUUGAAUCGUCAUCAAGCCAUCAAGCUAAGGUAUGUGACUUCAACCCACUUCCCACGAUCUAUUUUUUUUAUCUUCAUAUUUUAAUAAUAUUGAUCUCCAUGUCCCUUUUUCUUGAUGUUGUGUGUUUUAACAAAUAUGACACUUUCGUUAUUAGUGAAAUUUCAAUUUAUAGAGGUAAUCUGUUUUAUAUUAUUUACCGUGAAACCAAUAGAGUUUGAUUGUCCCAAUUUUUGCUAUUGAUGUUUAUUUGAUAAAGCAUUGGGUUACAAAUUAUUCAAAAUAUGGCAAAGUUAUGUGGCUUCAACCUACUUCUAAAGUUUAUUUUCUAUUUUAAUAGUUUAAUUUUUCUCGAAUGAGUUGUAUUUGUCCAGCUUCAUUAUUGUAGAUUCUUUUUCAUACUAAUAGGUGAGACGAAAUUGUUAAGUUUCAGUUAUUCAAAGAGAUCGAUUAUGAUCAUUAUUUUAUAAUUAGUUGGGACAAGUUCGGUGUUUUUUUACAUCAAUUGCUCAAGACAAAUUCUCUUGAAUCGUCAUCAAGCUAUUAAGCUAAGGUAUGCGACUUCCACCCACUUCCACGAUCUAUUUUGUUUAUCUCCAUACUUUAAUCUUUCUAGAGUAAUACUAUUCUUCAAUAAGCUAUUUUUAUUGGUCCACUUUAUGUAUAGAUAUGUAUUUUCGGUAAAUUGCAUAUUGUGCAAUGCAGCGAAAAGCGAAUCUUAGAUAUUAAUUUUCCUAUAUUUUUUAGUGUGACAUAAUUUCCAUCCAAUGUGUUAAAUGAAAUUUCGGAUAACUCAUAGGCCAUAAUUAUGGUAAUAUUAUAAAAAAUCUAGAUUGUUGCACGAAUUUAUUGUAAUUUAAUAAAAAUAAUAAUUGGUGCUUUGGGUUUGUUAUUAUCGUUUACAUUUUGGUCCUUAAUGUUUAUGGACCAUUGAACCGCUUUAAAAUUAACUUAUCUCAUAAAUACUAAUGUAAGAAAAUAGUAUUGAAAUUUUACAGCUUACUUGAAAAUUCUUAAGAGACUAAUUAUGAUGCAUUUUAUGGUUAAUUUCUCCAAAAAUCUCUUGCAUGUAGCACGUUUUCUAUUAAUGACUUUUUACCGCAUAAUUCUUCCAGAUAAUUAAUUUUAUAUGUCAAAUAGUAAUUAUAACAACAAUUAUCUCAAAUUCAUUGUCAAACUUGAUCAACUAUACAUGCAUGUACGUACUGUAAACUCAAACUUUAAAGUAUAUUUUAAAUAAGAAAAAAGUGAAUACAUGUAAAUAUAUUGACGCGAUACACACGUGCAACACACGUAUGCUAAAACUAGUGUUUAUGAAAAGUUUAUACUAGCUUCAUUAGGUAGAUCUGAAGCUCACUUGUGAAUAAGUCGACCGUUUAAGUCAACAAAUACUUGUUGUAGCUUGAUUACUUAAAUAUCACCAAAAUUUGUAGUUUAGUUGAAAGUUUAAAAUACAUUUUUGCGAUGCAAUUUGCUCUAUUAUUCCUGUUACUUAAAACUUCAGCUGCUUUUAGGAUUUAAGGGAGAAAUUACACGUAAAUUUGAUUUUUCUUCUUUAUUUAUUUCUUACAAAAAGAAUUUGAGUAAUGUAUAGUUGGCCUCUUAAAAAUACGGAAUUCUGUUAGAUAUAAAAGAAUCCAGUUAUAGUUGUUGAAAAUGUAAAGCUUUAUUCCACCCCCAAAUGGUUAAUUAUUCGUCUACGUGUAAUAACUGUAAAAAGUAACAAAUUUCAAUAUUAAUAAGUCUUUGUAUGCUUCAAAUGAAGAUUCUUCUUUAUUACAUGUCCUAAUUGUUUCUUUGCUUCACUACUCUAUCGAUGACUUCCGAGCUUUAGGGGGGGGGGGGGGGGGGGGGGAGACAUUUGGCUUCCACUUCACUUCUUCACUUUCCUCCGUGCUACUUUGAUUUUAUGGUUCUUUCUAAUCCUCUAUCUCUUACUACAAAAAGUAGCUGCAUGUGCUUUUCUCCAAAUUGAUUUGGGCUUGUGAAUCGAACUUCAGGUACGUCUUCGAUGUCUGCAAAAUAUUUGUUCAUCUCUCUUUUAUUUUGUUUAUUGCUCUUCUCUGUGCCUUUGAUUUUCUCCAACAGCUAACAGUGUGAUUAAUGAAAGCUAGAUGAGGGAUUGUUUAUGUAAUACAUCUUUCCUUUCUUGUGUCUGUUUGGGAAUUACAAUUGGUUUCCAUCAUGGAGACAGAUUGAAAAGUAUUCUAGCAAAAAAAUUUGGCAGAGAUUUCCCACUGAUAUAGAAAAUUAGACCCUAUUCUUUUGGGUUGUAGGGCAGUAGGAAGGUGCUUAACUUGAAGGAAGUGAAUGUGAUGAGAGCCUAUGGAACUGCUAAAGGCAAAUUUCAGCAUCUUUAAGAUCGUCAUCAAAUGAGGGUGAAGAAAUUUGUAAAGCGUUUUUAAUGUCUAAACGGGAAAACAUAGAGACUUAUAUCAGAAAGAGGAAGCCAGUAGAUCAGAGCGAGACAGUGGUUUUUUUUUUUUAAAUGUAUUGUUGUUUUUCUCGAUUUGGUUCUUGUUUUUAUUUGUAUAUUGUGCAUGCCCAUUUGGCUAUUUGAUUGGAAUACUGGAGCCAUGUGUUAAGUCUUUUGUAUUCUUAGAAGCCAGGGUUGUAUUGAUUACUUCUUUACACUCUGUUUGGAUGGCUGUUACGCAUGCUUUCAUAAUGUAUCUUCUUAUACUGCAUUGUGUUGUAUUGUAUCGUACUGUAUUGUUUUGAUGAAUACAAAUUUGGAUAGAUCGUAUCGUUUUUUGUUGUUACAUAAUGUCACACGUCAUCAAUUUGGAGGAUAAAUCUCCAAGAAAAGUAGGAUAAAGGUAACCACACGAUCACAUCAAAUCAAUCAUUACUUAAAAUGGGAUCUUUCGUUGUUACAUAGUGAUUGAUCUAACGAUAUGAUACGGUACGAUACAAUAAAAUUUGAGUAACAAUAAAAAAAACUAUUGUAUUUAAGCUAACAAUACAAUAGGUAAUGACCAUCCAAACAAGCUCUUAGUGUAUUGUGGUUGUAGCUUCACACUUGCUUUAUCCUUAUGAUUUUGUGUUCACAGACAAACAAUGAUUCUAUUACCGACAGUAAUUUUGGUGGUGGUAGCUCUCUGCGGCAGUUUGCGGUCAAAGAAUUCCAAAAAUUGCUCUCAGACAAAUGGAUUCCUUGUGUAGACGAUAUAUCUUAUGGUUUUGUUCGUCAACUUGCCGUAGAAAGAAAAUGUUGUCUGCAGCUCCAGGGUGAAGCUGCUCGGGUUCUCACAGACAAUGAUUCUAAGCAGUCGCCAUUACUUCAAAAGCUCUUGGAUAGUGAUAUGUUAGAUCUUCCGUCAAUGGUUGCCCGUGUUUUGCCUAGCAAUCUGCAGCAGUCAGCAACCAAAGAAUACAAACAAAUGCACUCUGACACUGCUGGAACUCUCAUACACAUUAUAUCAUCACGCUACUCGAGGCAACCUGAUUUGGUGAUUAAGCAUGAGCUGAUGCAAGUUCUUUUAAACCUUCUGGACACAUAUAGUGUUUGUGAGAAGGUAUGUUUUAAAAUUGGCAGACCCCUGUGUUGUAUAGACUGUAACUAUGUUUAUUAGCAGACAAAUUAUAUUUUUUGUCCAACUAUAGGCUGUAGAGAAACUGCGAAAAGUUGCUUCCCACCCUGUAAAUCGUAAUUAUGCUUUUCGGCAUGGGGCUUUGGAUACUUUGCUGAAUAAGUUGGACACUACCAAUGUUUCAAUGAUGAGAAAACACUUUUUGACUAUAUCAAAGUUUUGUGGAGGCAUAAUACAACCUCUUUUUAAUAAGGUCAGUUAAUGACUGUUGAAAAGUUUUUAGCUAGGCCUGCAAUUAUGUGAUGCAACGAUAUUGCGAACUUAAUGGAUGCUUUACAUUACUAAUUACAAUUCGAUUGUCAGGUGAGACCAGCAAUUAAAGCUUUUUGUAACCUUGUCUAUGUAAAUGAUGAUAAAGAGGUGCUAAGUAAUGCAUGCAAGGCGCUUUCUUCCUUACUAGUACAUUAGAUUUGUCCUUCAGUAACAGUAGUAGUAUUUGGGGUGUGGAAAAAUGCGAUUUUGUUGAUGAUGUAAGCUAGAGUGAGGUUGUUGAUGCCUUCCAUGAGGCGGAUGUUCUUUCGGUGCUGCUUAAACUCAUCAAGUGAGUGAGAUGUUUCAGUUUCUCAUUUAACCUACUUCUUCACAUCUGACUUAAGAUUGAAUCUGAUAUAUGUGUCAAUUGAUAUUUUAGCAAAUAUAGCACUCCUUCAGUAAUCUCCCCUGCCAUCCGUACUGUUCUAUCUAUUAGUACAGAUGAUGACAAAAAGAGGAUUUGCAUACCUGAGGUAAGAGAGUUUGGCUGA